CUCCAGCUGACGAGCCCCAAGAGGGCCGAGACGCGCGUCCUGGAU
rnacentral:hammerhead_ribozyme from 1 species